UACGGAGGGUGCGAGCGUUGUCCGGAAUCACUGGGCGUAAAGGGCGCGUAGGCGGCGCGGGUAGUCAUCGGUGAAAGUUCAGGGCUCAACUCUGAAUCGGCCGGUGAUACUCCCGUGCUCGAGCACUGUAGAGGCAGGUGGAAUUCCGGGUGUAGCGGUGGAAUGCGUAGAGAUCGGGAAGAAUACCAGUGGCGAAGGCGUUCUGCGUGGGCCGUUGCUGACACUGAGGCGCGAAAGCGUGGGGAGCGAACAGG
rnacentral:rRNA from 1 species